GAGGGUACAGCUGAGUGGUAGAGUGAGUGCUUAGCAUGCACACGGUCCUGGGCUCAAGCCUCAGUACCUCCA
rnacentral:tRNA from 1 species